GAUGAACGCUGGCGGCGUGCCUAAUACAUGCAAGUCGAGCGAACGGACGAGAAGCUUGCUUCUCUGAUGUUGGCGGCGGACGGGUGAGUAACACGUGGAUAACCUACCUAUAAGACUGGGAUAACUUCGGGAAACCGGAGCUAAUACCGGAUGAUAUUUUGAACCGCAUGGUUCAAAAGUGAAAGACGGUCUUGCUGUCACUUAUAGAUGGAUCCGCGCUGCAUUAGCUAGUUGGUAAGGUAACGGCUUACCAAGGCAACGAUGCAUAGCCGACCUGAGAGGGUGAUCGGCCACACUGGAACUGAGACACGGUCCAGACUCCUACGGGAGGCAGCAGUAGGGAAUCUUCCGCAAAGGGCGAAAGCCUGACGGAGCAACGCCGCGUGAGUGAUGAAGGUCUUCGGUUCGUAAAACUCUGUUAUUAGGGAAGAACAUAUGUGUAAGUAACUGUGCACAUCUUGACGGUACCUAAUCAGAAAGCCACGGCUAACUACGUG
rnacentral:rRNA from 1 species